AGAGAAACACAUAUUUAAAAAAGGAGUGCGGGUCAAACUGACACCACAGCUUUUAAAAAUUUGGGACAAUUCUAUUCACACACACAGCAGAAGAAGUUUGGAUUGGAAUAAAAUUCAUUGUUGUGUGAUGUGAAACCAAAGAUGUGAAUGCCCGCUUGGCCAAGGAGCUUGUGUUAUUUCCUCCACCACGGUGUCACCCGGAGGAGAACGGUGCCAAAAAGUGGCACAAACCUUCAAUCAACCUCCAGACCUAAUCCUCUGCUCCUGCAUUUGGAAGACCAUCUGUCUAGUAAGCAGCUAUGAACUCCUGAGAGGCAGCCAGCAGGAAAGAAGUUACUUGACCUGGUUCAGCUUCAAGCACUUCAUAAUUGUGACAGCAUGUGAAUCAGCUGAAUGACUGUGGGUGUAAAGCCUGCUGUUAGCACCAGUGCUGCACACUGCACAACUGGAUGUGUCCUGCAGUCAUAGAUGUUCUGCUGGUGCGGUUGGUGGUAAAGGCUUUUACAGUGGAGUUGCACUAAGUAGAACUGUGAUGGUUGGAGAAGGAGGUGAGGAAGGGAAAAAUAAGCCCAGAAAGGAAAGGGGACAACUGAAAAAGACAAAGAGCUCUUGGGCUGUGAUAGCUGAUCUACACGAUUGCUUCCAUGCCAUGAUCAUGUUUAUCUCUGAAUUAUUGAAAACCUGAAAACCUGUUUCUAUGACAAAGAAAGGCUUCAGAAAGUUUUGGGGGGGGUUCUGCCUUGAUAAAAGUGGAGUAAUUGUAAGUCAAGGUCAAGCCCUCCCUGUACUGUUUCCUUUUUGGACUGCAGACAAGGAUUGUGCCUUUAAUAAAUGAGUGGAUAGUCAUCUGGACGGUAAUUGGCCUAUGCCUCAUUAUUGAGAGGUGGACAGCUGCUGUAGAGGACAGCACAUUGACUGUACUGAUUACACCAAGACAAACACAUCACAAAUAAAUCUUAUAACACUCACUUUCUGCUAUUCAUUCAUACCCUCUGUCUUCUUAAGAUGGCACCUCACCAUCUCUGAUACUGCAGGGAAAAAUAUUAUUAAUAACAAGCUUCACUGAUUCACUUAUUAUACAAAAUUAAAUGUUUUCAGCAGAGCUUCUCUCUGUAUGAAUCAGGAUCUGAUUUAACAUGUCUUUGGAGGAUUUGCCUAACGCUGUUGCCAUUGUUGCAAAAUAUUCAAAUUCUCCACU